GUUCUUAACACUGGUUGUCUCCCUAAUGACGGUGUCAUUAAAGUUCAGAUGGUGAGAUGGAGAAGUUAACUUGAUGUUUAGGAGCAAAAACUAUAAAGUGUGUUUUAUCCUCAUGAAUUUUUAGCAUAUUGGUGCACAUCCACUUCUCGAUUUCUUAAUUAUCAACUCAUUUUCCUUACAAGUAUAAUUUUUAGUAUAUUGCAUAAUAAAUUUUAAUUUUAUUACGGUUAACGAAUUUUGUUAUAAAUGAUAGAAUUUAAACAGGUAAGAAUUUUAUAUGUUCAAUUACAUUUGAUUUUGUUUAUGCAUAUAUAUUUCAGUACUGAUUAGUUCUAAAAAUUGGAAUUUAAUUUCAGAUUUGGUUUUGCUUAACAUUCUUUUGUUAAAAGAAGUAUCCUUGACAAAAACUCAUGAAAAUGCAUGUAAUUUCUCAUUGGAAGUAGACAACAAUGUUUAAUAUUACAUUCUAACUUCACUCACUUGGGUAGUACUACUACAUAUAUCACUUUUCUUUUUCUUCUCCCUGUUUUCUAUUUGUUUUAAAGGUACGUAUCAAAAUGAAAAUGCACAUGGCGAUUUUUUUUUUCAUUUUUGCUGUUCAAUUCAUUUCAUUCCAAUAGUAUAGAGAGAGGAGUGAGGAGAGAAAGGAUGAAUAUUUAUAUUGCGUGAUUUUAUAUUUGUUUUAUAUUUGCUUUAUAAACUGAGCUGAAAUGAUGUAUAUUCGCGAGGAUUGUAUUGAUGAUUGCAAAUAUGAAUUAACACAAAUUGAACUAUAGAACAAACUUUCAGAAAACGAUGUUCAUUGUCUCUUGUUAAUUCGAGCAUAGCACGCAUAGAAGAAAACUGUGAGUAACAUUUUCAGGUUUUCAUUGAAAUUGUAACGACUCAGUUAACCUUGAAUUCAUUUAUCGGUUCAAACAUUUUAAUGCCUCGCUUUUUAAUUUAGUAACAAGGUCAUGAUCUGUAGUUCACAAUUUUGUCUAGAAUAUAUAACAUAUACUAUUUUGUCUAGAAUAUAGAGAUGAUGUCCUGCAUGCCAGCCUCAGGUUUUUGCUUUGUGUGAUACAAGUAUAAUAAGUUCUACUGUAAUUUUGGAGGCAGAAAAAAUCCUGAAAUUGUUCAUGUAUUUAUUAACAUGUAUUUUGUCUGCACAUAACUAAUUUUGCUUAUUUACAUGUAACAAUAACUAUUCAGCGUAUUAUUUACUUGUAAGCCUACAAAAUUUUUUUUUUUUAUUAUUUUAAAAUUACUCUUCUGAUAUAUAAUUUCAGAAGUAAAACGAAAAGAGCUUCCUUUACAAAAUUUAUUUGAUUUGAUUUCAAUGAUGAUUAUAUGAUUAUUGAUAAGAUUUUUUCUCAAUUUUGAAAAUUCCUUAUUUUGUAUAUUAGACUAAGUAUUGUUUGAAACGUCAUUAUUAUGAUACAAUGCAUCUUUUAAAACACUUUUUAAGCAAGGAUCAUGUAAAGUUGGGGAAUCAAUUUUGUCUCAUUUAUAAUAAAGAUAUAAAAUGUAUUUUAGGCAUCAUAAUCAUGAUUAGUGCUGUCCUCACAUGUCUUUUGUCCUAGUAUUCAGUAGUUUCGAUUAACAAGAGUGUCGAAGUAAGUUAUCAAUAUCUGACAUCAUAAAAAAAUCAUUAAUAUUUGAACUCCCCUAAUCAAAGUUUGUGCCGCCUCAGCUGUUGGAAAAACAAACCCAUGCAUAAAUGUAGCAACCAAGGAAAUCAGUUACAAAUAGACGUGGUUGUCAGUCCUUAUUAUACCAGAAAACUGAUGUAAGAAAUACGUCAGGUAUUUAAAAACCCGUUUUCUUUCUCUAUUUUUACUAAAUAAUGUUUGCUUAAUGAAAUUUGAAGAGAAUUGUUUCCGAUCAUGAUAAGGGACAAACGGCGGACGUCACUCGUCGGAGAAGGGGAUGUUUACCCCUCCAUGUCACCUGAUCCCUCCGUUGAAGUUUAAGAAGUCUACAAGUGUAUGUUGCUUUGCUCGUUAGUUGUAUUGCUUGAAUAAUGUUCGCUAUUCCAAUAUACUUAAUUUUAAUAUAUUUCUUUUUCGCAAGGGGUUUUUGUCUCUCUUUAGAAUAAAUCUCUCUGAAUAGAAUCCUGAAUGCCAUCUGGAAAUACAUGUAUUCGAUAUACAACUGCAUGCUCUACGUAUGAGCAAUUUCUAAAAUGAGAGACCCAGAAUUGUACUUUAGCAGAGCCAGACGACACACCCCAAAAUCCUGUGUGAGCAUUUUAUCUACAUGUACUUCUGUACCAGGUGUAUCUUAGAGAACUACUGGAUCAAGACCAGGCGUGAAAAUAUAUGGAUGAGCAGUAUUAGAUCAGUGAUUAGAUACAAAGAUUUAACCGAGAACAGACAUGAAAAGAAAAGAGGAACACGACUGGAUCAGUGAUUAAAUAAACAAAAUUAUUCCAGACCAUGCGUGGAAAAUAUGGACAUAUUUGAUCAGUGAUUAGAAACAAAAUUUUAUCCUAGACUAGGCGUGAAAAGAUAUGAAUGAGCACUAUUGGAUCAGAGAUUAGAUAUAAAAUUUUAUCCUAGACCACAGGCGUGAAAAGAUAUGGAUGAGCAGUACUAGAUUGGUGAUACAAAAUGUCAACCAAGAAAAGGCGUGAUGAAAAACAGAUGUAUGACAUUACAUCGAAUUCAAUGCGUUUUCACUCCG